GACGAACGCUGGCGACGUGCUUAACACAUGCAAGUCGAACGGAAAGGCCCUGCUUUUGUGGGGUGCUCGAGUGGCGCACGGGUGAGUAACACGUGAGUAACCUGCCCUUGACUUUGGGAUAACUUCAGGAAACUGGGGCUAAUACCGGAUAGGAGCUCCUGCUGCAUGGUGUGGGUUGGAAAGUUUCGGCGGUUGGGGAUGGACUCGCGGCUUAUCAGCUUGUUGGUGGGGUAGUGGCUUACCAAGGCUUUGACGGGUAGCCGGCCUGAGAGGGUGACCGGCCAAAUUGGGACUGAGAUACGGCCCAGACUCCUACGGGAGGCAGCAGUGGGGAAUAUUGCACAAUGGGCGGAAGCCUGAUGCAGCAACGCCGCGUGCGGGAUGACGGCCUUCGGGUUGUAAACCGCUUUCGCCUGUGACGAAGCGUGAGUGACGGUAAUGGGUAAAGAAGCACCGGCUAACUACGUG
rnacentral:rRNA from 1 species